rnacentral:sRNA from 1 species
UUUUUGUGUUUUUUUUUCUCUCUUUU